CCGAUCAUAGCUCAGUUGGAAGAGCGAAGGACUGUAAUUUAAAAGAAAUCCUUAGGUCCCUGGUUCGAUCCCAGGUGAUCGGA
rnacentral:tRNA from 1 species